GAUGAACGCUGGCGGCGUGCCUAAUACAUGCAAGUCGAACGCACAGCGAAAGGUGCUUGCACCUUUCAAGUGAGUGGCGAACGGGUGAGUGACACGUGGACAACCUGCCUCAAGGCUGGGGAUAACAUUUGGAAACAGAUGCUAAUACCGAAUAAAACUCAGUGUCGCAUGACACAAAGUGAAAAGGCGCUUUGGCGUCACCUAGAGAUGUAUCCGCGGUGCAUUAGUUAGUUGGUGGGGUAAAGGCCCACCAAGACAAUGAUGCAUAGCCGAGUUGAGAGACUGAUCGGCCACAUUGGGACUGAGACACGGCCCAAACUCCUACGGGAGGCUGAAGUAGGGAAUCUUCCACAAUGGGCGAAAGCCUGAUGGAGCAACGCCGCGUGUGUGAUGAAGGCUUUCGGGUCGUAAAGCACUGUUGUAUAGGAAGAACAGCUAGAAUAGGGAAUGAUUUUAGUUUGACGGUACCAUACCAGAAAGGGACGGCUAAAUACGUGCCAGCAGCCGCGGUAA
rnacentral:rRNA from 1 species